CAGCUCGUGUCGUGAGAUGUUGGGUUAAGUCCCGCAACGAGCGCAACCCUUGUGAUUAGUUGCCAGCGGUUCGGCCGGGGACUCUAGUCAAACUGCCCAGAUCAACUGGGAGGAAGGUGGGGACGACGUCAGGUCAGUAUGGCCCUUACGCCUAGGGCUGCACACGUACUACAAUGCCCAGCACAAUGAGAACCGAGAA
rnacentral:rRNA from 1 species